AUUGAACGCUGGCGGCAGGCUUAACACAUGCAAGUCGAACGAGUGGCGGACGGGUGAGUAAUGUCUGGGAAACUGCCCGAUGGAGGGGGAUAACUACUGGAAACGGUAGCUAAUACCGCAUACCAUCGGAUGUGCCCAGAGGGGAUUAGCUAGUGGGUGGGGUAACGGCUCACCCAGGCGACCAUCCCUAGCUGGUCUGAGAGGAUGACCGGCCACACGGGAACUGAGACACGGUCCAGACUCCUACGGGAGGCAGCAGUGGGGAAUAUUGCACAAUGGGCGCAAGCCUGAUGCAGCCAUGCCGCGUGUAUGAAGAAGGCCUUCGGGUUGUAAAGUACUUUCAGCGAGGAGGCGUUACUCGCAGAAGAAGCACCGGCUAACUCCGUGCCAGCAGCCGCGGUAAUUC
rnacentral:rRNA from 1 species